GACGAACGCUGGCGGCGUGCCUAAUACAUGCAAGUUGAGCGAUGAAGAUUGGUGCUUGCACCAAUUUGAAGAGCAGCGAACGGGUGAGUAACGCGUGGGGAAUCUGCCUUUGAGCGGGGGACAACAUUUGGAAACGAAUGCUAAUACCGCAUAACAACUUUAAACAUAAGUUUUAAGUUUGAAAGAUGCAAUUGCAUCACUCAAAGAUGAUCCCGCGUUGCAUUAGCUAGUUGGUGAGGUAAAGGCUCACCAAGGCGAUGAUACAUAGCCGACCUGAGAGGGUGGUCGGCCACAUUGGGACUGAGACACGGCCCAAACUCCUACGGGAGGCAGCAGUAGGGAAUCUUCGGCAAUGGACGAAAGUCUGACCGAGCAACGCCGCGUGAGUGAAGAAGGUUUUCGGAUCGUAAAACUCUGUUGGUAGAGAAGAACGUUGGUGAGAGUGGAAAGCUCAUCAAGUGACGGUAACUACCCAGAAAGGGACGGCUAACUACGUG
rnacentral:rRNA from 1 species